rnacentral:rRNA from 1 species
UACAGAGGUCUCAAGCGUUGUUCGGAUUCAUUGGGCGUAAAGGGUGUGUAGGUGGCGCCGUAAGUCGGGUGUGAAAUUUCGGAGCUUAACUCCGAAACUGCAUUCGAUACUGCCGUGCUUGAGGACUGGAGAGGAGACUGGAAUUUACGGUGUAGCGGUGAAAUGCGCAGAUAUCAGGAGGAACACCGGUGGCGAAGGCGGUGAUCUGGGCCGGCACUGACGCUGAGGAGCGAAAGCGUGGGUAGCAAACAGG